rnacentral:rRNA from 1 species
CGAACGGGUGAGGAACACGUGAAGAAUCUGCCUUCAACUCUGGGAUAACUCCGGGAAACCGGGGCUAAUACCGGAUAUUAGCCUUGGGCCGCAUGGCCGGGGCUGGAAAGUUUUUCGGUUGAAGAUGACUUCGCGGCCUAUCAGCUUGUUGGUGAGGUAACGGCUCACCAAGGCGACGACGGGUAGCCGGCCUGAGAGGGCGACCGGCCACACUGGGACUGAGACACGGCCCAGACUCCUACGGGAGGCAGCAGUGGGGAAUAUUGGGCAAUGGAGGAAACUCUGACCCAGCGACGCCGCGUGAGGGAUGAAGGCCUUCGGGUUGUAAACCUCUUUCAGUAGGGAAGAAGCGAAAGUGACGGUACCUACAGAAGAAGCACCGGCUAACUAUGUGCCAGCAGCCGCGGUAAUACAUAGGGUGCAAGCGUUGUCCGGAAUUAUUGGGCGUAAAGAGCUCGUAGGUGGUUCGAUACGUCGGAUGUGAAAAUCAGGGCUCAACCCCUGACCUGCAUUCGAUACGGUCGAGCUAGAGUUUGGUAGGGGAGACUGGAAUUCCUGGUGUAGCGGUGGAAUGCGCAGAUAUCAGGAGGAACACCGAUGGCGAAGGCAGGUCUCUGGGCCAAUACUGACACUGAGGAGCGAAAGCGUGGGGAGCGAACAGGAUUAGAUACCCUGGUAGUCCACGCCGUAAACGGUGGGCGCUAGUUGUGCGAACCUUCCACGGUUUGUGCGACGCAGCUAACGCAUUAAGCGCCCCGCCUGGGGAGUACGAUCGCAAGAUUAAAACUCAAAGGAAUUGACGGGGCCCCGCACAAGCAGCGGAGCAUGCGGCUUAAUUCGACGCAACGCGAAGAACCUUACCAAGGCUUGACAUAUACAGGAAUACGGCAGAGAUGUCGUAGCCGCAAGGUCUGUAUACAGGUGGUGCAUGGUUGUCGUCAGCUCGUGUCGUGAGAUGUUGGGUUAAGUCCCGCAACGAGCGCAACCCUCGUUCUGUGUUGCCAGCAUUUAGUUGGGGACUCACAGGAGACUGCCGGGGUUAACUCGGAGGAAGGUGGGGAUGACGUCAAAUCAUCAUGCCCCUUAUGUCUUGGGCUGCACGCAUGCUACAAUGGCUGGUACA